rnacentral:rRNA from 1 species
GCUAGUUGUGCGCACCCUAGCUAUGUUGGGAGCGCAGCGUACAGCUCCGUAACACGUGGUCAAUCUGCCCUUAGGACAGGGAUAACCCCCGGGAAACUGGGGCUAAUACCCGAUAGGCGGAAAAGCCUGGAAUGGCUUUCCACCUAAAGGGCUUUAGGAACAUGCUCCUAAAGUUGCCUAAGGAUGAGACUGCGUCCGAUCAGGUUGUUGGUGGGGUAGUGGCCUACCAAGCCUAUAACCGGUACGGGCCCUGAGAGGGGGAGCCCGGAGAUGGGAACUGAGACAAGGUCCCAGACCCUACGGGGUGCAGCAGUUAUGAAACCUCUACAAUGCACGAAAGUGUGAUAGGGUUAUCCCGAGUGCCAUCCGAUGAGGAUAGCUUUUCCCCGGUGUAAGGAGCCGGGGGAAUAAAGGGGGGGCAAGACUGGUGUCAGCCGCCGCGGUAAUACCAGCCCCCUGAGUGGUAGGGACGAUUAUUUGGCCUAAAGCGUUCGUAGCCGGCUUAGCAAAUCUUUCGUUAAAUCCGGCGACUUAAUCGUCGAGCUGCGAGAGAUACUACUAGGCUUGAGGACGGGAGAGGUCGACGGUAUUCCGGGGGUAGGGGCAAAAUCCUAUAAUCCUCGGAGGACCACCAGUGGCGUAGGCGGUCGACUAGAACGUGCCUGACGGUGAUGGACGAAAGCUGGGGGAGCAAACCGGAUUAGACACCCGGGUAGUCCCAGCCGUAAACGAUG